UAAUUUAUCAACAGAAAAAAAAAAUAAAAAAAAAAUCAAUCACGCAUCUUAUCAAUCAUGCAAAAUAAAUGCUCCUUAAAAUUAAAUCUCAAUCGUUAGACUAUAGGCAGAUCAAUAAUGUAAAUCUAUUCAUAUUUUAUACUUUAAGAGUGAUUUGUAGCUUAGUCCUCUCCUAUUAACCGUACAACUAUUAUAACUUCCCUCCAAAGCAAUCUAAAAUUAAAAACAAUUAAAACCAUAAAGAAAUAAAAGAAGGAAAUUGAACCAAUUAAGCGAAGUUGAAAAGAGAC
rnacentral:lncRNA from 1 species